rnacentral:rRNA from 1 species
UACGUAGGGUGCGAGCGUUGUCCGGAAUUAUUGGGCGUAAAGGGCUCGUAGGCGGUUUGUCGCGUCGGGAGUGAAAACCUCGGGCUUAACUCGGGGCUUGCUUUCGAUACGGGCAGACUGGAGGUAUGCAGGGGAGAACGGAAUUCCUGGUGUAGCGGUGAAAUGCGCAGAUAUCAGGAGGAACACCGGUGGCGAAGGCGGGUCUCUGGGCAGUAACUGACGCUGAGGCGCGACAGCGUGGGGAGCAAACAGG